UCAGCGGUAGAGUAACGCCAUGGUAAGGCGUAAGUCAUCGGUUCAAAUCCGAUAAGCGGCU
rnacentral:tRNA from 1 species